GAGCUAGUGCAUAAGUAUGUAUAAAUUUGAUAGAUCAAGAUAUAGAGGUGUAAGUAUGUUGUUUAAUGAUAAUCAUCUGGAGAACUCAAAUUAAGGCUAUCACGAAGAUCAAAAAAGAGAAAAGGGAACAGAGAAGGUCCUGCCCUGCCCUGCCCUAGAGUUAGUCUCUGCCUGACUCUGGCUUGCUCAACAAAUCCUGCCCUGUGCACCCUCCACUCCAGCCCUAUGCGACCAGAAAGUGAAGCGCCUCGUGCCUGGCUUCCGAGUUAUGGGACCGUCUCACACACAGCAAAGUGGAGGAGGAAGGGCAGAAGGAUGAUGGAGGGUUAAAGACGAGUAAACCAGAUUUACCUGGGGCCAGAACCCAAUCGCCCUAUGGCCACACCAAGAAGGAUGACCGUCUCCUGCAUCAUUAAGGGGGUAAGCUGUGAAUCUGGAAUAACAGCCCUUGGCCGGGCUCUGAGAUAACACUGUAAGUAUAAUACAAAUUCAUUCAACGAACUCAUUGAACAUCUGUGUGCCAGGCACUGCGGUAGAAAAUGGGAGUAAACCAUGAGUAAGACAUAGUCUCUGCCCUCAGAGGUCCCGCAGAGCAGUGAGGGGAACAGACAAGAAAAGACACCGACACCUUGACACCUAUGCCUAUAACAAUGAGUGCUCCCUCAGUACCAGGUACGUGCCUGAAGGUGUCCACUUAGUAUUUCACAUAGUACUGAAAUUGACCUGGGGAGGCGGGUAAUAUUAUUCUCAUUUAAUAGAUAAAAGAGGUGAGGCUAAGAGAAUUUUACUUGCCCAAGAUCACACAACUCGGCUGGUGGCAGAAUAAAGAUGUGGACUUGGCCUUGCCUGGCUCCAGCUGUGAUCUGGCUAUCCCCCUCAUGGUUUGUUAGAAACAUGUCUUGGUUCUUCUUCCCUGCCUUGCCCCUGCUGCGGAAACUCUUGGUCUGCCCGCUGUACAACGUGGUUCCCCAGGAUGCAAUCUACCUCCUUCGAACAGGGAGAGCAGAGGCUUUGGCUUGUCACAAGAGCUAGAUGUGCUUUAGCGUUUUCAGGGCCCCUGCCCUCAAGGAGCCUACAGUCUAGGAGAAGAGAGGUGAUGCAUACAAAUAUUCAGGUUAUAAGAAUGACGAAUCUAUGAGCUGUUUUAUAUUUUUAAGACAGUCUCAGCCUGACAACAGACAGUUGUCUCCCCUGACAACACUUUUGCAGUCUCCAUAAUGGAUUCCCUACAUUGCAUUAUAUUUAUAUUCUACACUUGUAGUUGUGAAGCCCUUCAAAGCUCUGACUUUGAGAUGAUCUCACAUCUUGUAUAUUUCUCAAAUCUAGCAUCCUUAUUCCUGGGGCAGAUAUCACUGCCCUCUUAUUUCUUGUCUAGGUUCUCACCACAGCCUUUUUACAGCUCCCUCCCUCAAAUCUCUCCGUUCUUCACAUUGUAGUCAGAGUGAUCUUGAACUGCCAAUUUUGGGUGGAUCCCUUGCUUAAAACCCUCGAUGGCACACCACAACCCCCAGGAUGAAUCCAAGCUUCUAAGCCUGGUAUUCCAGACUCUCCCAUUAUGUCUGGCACAUUCCGUGCUUUAGCAACAUUCUACGCCCCGGCAAGAGGGGGCUGCUUACAAUCUCCUUCUACGCACUCUGCUGUUCCCCAGCUCUGGGCCCAUGUCCUUCUGUCCUUCUUAAAAACAUGCUUUCUCCCAACCUUCACCUGAACAACUUCUACUCAUUCAUCAAGACUGAACCGGGACAGAGAUGACAUAGGAAACCUUCUUGGACCCGCAUCCGCCAUAUCGUAUGACAACUGUCUCCUCAUGUGCCGGUUUUCACCACUAGACUGACUUUCAUGAAGACAACUGAGGGUGUCUUCUUCAUCUUUGUACCUCCAGCACCUACCACGGUUUCAGGAACAUAAUAGUCAUUCAGUGAGUACUUGUUUAAAUAAAAUGAAUGAGUGAAUGAUUAUAAAGUUCUACGACGCAUUAAGUGCCAAAUGAGUAGUACAGAAAAUGAGCAUAAGAGAAAGGAGGAAAUGGUCACUUCCAGUUGGGAGAGUCCCAGAAAGCUUCACAGAUAAGAAGAAUUUCUGCUGGACCUUGCAGGAUGAGAUAACACGUGUGUAGGUGCUGGCCCAAUGCCGACCUGCCGUUGGCGUUGAAUAAGGGUGAAAUGAAUCUGAUUUGGCUAGGUCGAAAGAGGUGGGGAAGACAUCCCAUGGGGGCAGGUGGUGGGGGCAAAGGUUUCUAGUUGCAAAACACAAGGCAAGUUUAGGGAACAAUCAAGAGACCGGUUUGACUGGAGCAAAAAAUUUGCAGCUGGGAAGACCAGUAGGUUUGAAACAUAGGUGGGGACAAGCAAUGGGCAAUGCAGAGAUGUCUCAUACUUUUGUCCGGAGUGGUCCACAUACAAGAGCCAUAACGCUUGCCUACACCUGUCCUUCCCAUCAAGAAGGUAUAAAUUUGAACUUGACGAAGCCGGUCUUUGAACAAUGCAAGCAAAACAUUCAAACAUUCAGGGCUGUGAUAAGGGCAGAGUGGGUGAGGUUCAGGAUUAGGUAAUUAUUUGGUGUCUCUGUAGCGUGACCUAUGGGCCAAAAUAACUGACUGGUUUUUAUUUUUCUUUGCCUCUCUAGUUUUGCCUGAAUCAGAGAGCAGCCAAAGGCACUUGGGAAAAAAAGUUAUUUUAAGCAGGAAAUGCGGUAGGGAGGAGAAUGGGAAAUCCUAAAAUCACACCAGGAGAGGAAGCCGUCAAUGCUGGUUAGGCUGAGAAGAAGGGACCUCCUUGCUUGCCCGACUUGGCUCCUGGCCUGCUCUUGGGCACAACCUACCUGUGAGGUGCUUGGCAUCGCGGGAUAGUGACAUAUGGGCAUGUGCCGUGGCGGCCACCACUGGCUGUUUGGAGCCAACACCAAUAGUAUGCCAUGUUUGGAGAAGGAAAGCAGAGAAUGUAUUUGGGAAACACACAGGAGAGCUCUGUCCCCUCACCAACCCCACCUGCAUCCUGUGUGUGAGUCAAAGGGGACAGUGAAAAAGAGAUUGGAAAGGGAGUUCCAAGCCAGCAGCUAGCC